rnacentral:piRNA from 7 species
AAGAACGAAAGUCGGAGGUUCGAAGACGAU